GAAAGUAAGAAAGGGCGUAUGGCGGAUGCCUAGGCUCACGGAGGCGAUGAAGGACGUGAUAAGCUGCGAUAAGCCUCGGGUAGGUGCAAAUAACCUUUGAUCCGGGGAUUUCCGAAUGGGACAACCUGGCGGUCUGGAGGACCGUCAUCCUUACCUGAGUAAGGAGGCUAACGCAGGGAACUGAAACAUCUUAGUACCUGCAGGAAGAGAAAAUAAAUGAAUGAUUCCCCCAGUAGUGGCGAGCGAACGGGGAACAGCCCAAACCGUUGACGUCGCAAGGCGCCAGCGGGGUUGUAGGACCGCGACAUUGUAUGCAAAUCGUGAACAGAACACUUUGGAAAAUGUGACCAUAGACGGUGAUAGUCCAGUAUGUGAAGCGAAAUGCAGCAUAGCGGUAUCCUGAGUAACGCGGGACACGAGGAAUCCUGCGCGAAUCUGCCGGGACCAUCCGGUAAGGCUAAAUACUCCCGUGAGACCGAUAGCGAACGAGUACCGUGAGGGAAAGGUGAAAAGAACCCCGAGCAGGGGAGUGAAAUAGUUCCUGAAACCAUGCGCCUACAAGCGGUCGGAGCACAGCGAUGUGUGACGGCGUGCCUUUUGCAUAAUGAUCCUACGAGUUACCGUCACUGGCGAGGUUGAGUGUCACGAGACACGUAGCCGCAGUGAAAGCGAGCCUGAAGAGGGCGCACAGUCAGUGGGGGUAGACGCGAAACCAAGUGAUCUACACUUGGCCAGGAUGAAGUCCCGGUAACACGGGAUGGAGGUCCGCACCAAUAAGCGUUGAAAAGCUUCUGGAUGAGCCGAGUGUAGGAGUGAAAGGCCAAUCAAACUUGGAGAUAGCUCGUACUCCCCGAAAGGCAUUUAGGUGCCGCGUCGGAUGGUCACCGUGAGAGGUAGAGCGACCGAUAGGACAAGAGGGCUUCACCGCCUAUCGAGUCCUGACGAACUCCGAAUGCUCACGGUCUGCAGUCCGGCAGUAAGGGGGCGGGUGCUAAGGUCCGUCCCCGAGAGGAGAAGAAUCCAGACCGCCGUCUAAGGUCCCGGAGUUCUGCCUGAGUUAGUCUAACGAAGUCUGGUCCCUAUGACAGCUAGGAUGUUGGCUUGGAAGCAGCCAUUCAUUCAAAGAGUGCGUAACAGCUCACUAGUCGAGGGUCCGGGCAUGGAUAAUAAUCGGGUAUAAGGCAGACACCGAAGGCGCGGGAUAGCAUUUAAGAAAGUAUCGGUAGGGGAGCAUACUCACAGCGUGGAAUGGUGUACGUAAGUUAUCCUGGAGCGGUGAGUAAAGCAAAUGUAGGAAUAAGUAACGAUAAGGAGGGUUAGAUUCCCUCCCGCUGUAAGACCAAGGUUUCCCGGGCAAUGCCAAUCAGCCCGGGGUCAGUCGGGUCCUAAGUCUAAGCCGAACGGCGAUGGCGAUGGCAGAGACGGUUAAUAUUCCGUCACUGCCGCAUGGGGCGACGUGGAGACGGAGCAGUGAAACCACCGCGGGGCGACGGAAGUCCCCGUUGAAGAGUGUAGGUGUUGAGGAUGGCAGGCAAAUCCACCAUCCGAGCUGAACUUGACAGUACGGAGUCCUCCCCGGAGGAAUCUGAUAGUGUGGGUAAUCAUACUCCCGAGAAAAUCCGCUAAGCUUAACCCAUGCGGCACCCGUACCGCAAACGGACACACGUGGUCGGGUAGAACAUACUAAGGCGUUGAGAGAUUCAUGGUUAAGGAACUAGGCAAAUUGACCCCGUAACUUCGGGAUAAGGGGUCCUCGUGAGGAGCGAGGCGCAGAGAAUAGGUCCAGGCAACUGUUUAACAAAAACACAGGGCUGUGCAAACUCGAAAGAUGAAGUAUACAGCCUGACACCUGCCCGGUGCCGGAAGGUUAAGAGGAGAUGUCACCAGCAAUGGGAAGCAUUGAAUUGAAGCCCCGGUAAACGGCGGCCGUAACUAUAACGGUCCUAAGGUAGCGAAAUUCCUUGUCGGGUAAGUUCCG
rnacentral:rRNA from 1 species